rnacentral:rRNA from 1 species
UACGUAGGGUGCGAGCGUUAAUCGGAAUUACUGGGCGUAAAGCGCACGCAGGUGGCUGAGAAAGUCGAUUGUGAAAGCCCUGGGCUUAACCUGGGAAUUGCAGUCGAAACUACUCGGCUAGAGUAUGGGAGAGGACAGUGGAAUUCCCGGUGUAGCGGUGAAAUUCGUAGAUAUUCGCAAGAACACCAGUGGCGAAGGCGGCUCACUGGCCCGGUACUGACGCUGAGGUGCGAAAGCGUGGGGAGCAAACAGG